rnacentral:rRNA from 1 species
UGGGGAAUAUUGCACAAUGGGCGCAAGCCUGAUGCAGCCAUGCCGCGUGUGUGAAGAAGGCCUUCGGGUUGUAAAGCACUUUCAGCGAGGAGGAAGGGUAGUGUGUUAAUAGCACAUUGCAUUGACGUUACUCGCAGAAGAAGCACCGGCUAACUCCGUGCCAGCAGCCGCGGUAAUACGGAGGGUGCAAGCGUUAAUCGGAAUUACUGGGCGUAAAGCGCACGCAGGCGGUUUGUUAAGUCAGAUGUGAAAUCCCCGCGCUUAACGUGGGAACUGCAUUUGAAACUGGCAAGCUAGAGUCUUGUAGAGGGGGGUAGAAUUCCAGGUGUAGCGGCGAAAUGCGUAGAGAUCUGGAGGAAUACCGGUGGCGAAGGCGGCCCCCUGGACAAAGACUGACGCUCAGGUGCGAAAGCGUGGGGAGCAAACA